rnacentral:rRNA from 1 species
GACGCACUCUCAGUAGUUUGAUCCUGGCUCGAGACGACGCUGGCGGCGUGCUUAACACAUGCAAGUUGAACGGGAAAUUUUACUUCGGUUUAAUUUCUAGUAGCGAACGGGUGAGUAACGCGUAGGCAACCUGCCCUUCAGACGAGGACAACAUUCCGAAAGGGAUGCUAAUACCGGAUACGCUCCUUCCAUCGCAUGACGGAAGGAGGAAAGAUGGCCUCUAUUUAUAAGCUAUCGCUGAAGGAUGGACCUGCGUCCGAUUAGCUAGUUGGUAGGGUAACGGCUUACCAAGGCGACGAUCGGUAGCCGGUCUGAGAGGAUGAACGGCCACAUUGGAACUGAGACACGGUCCAG